CUCUCCUUCCAGAACGGUCUCUGACUGUGGAGACCGUUACUCAGGGCCCAUCAUGAAACUUUGGAAUUCUGAAAAAUGGAAAGCGGAUAAGGCGCAUGGCAGCCUUUUUGUGCUCAGGCUACCAGAGAGCUCAUCAGCCCCACCCUUGGGGCCAUCUUAAACUGCCAGGGCUCCUGCAAAAAGCACAAAAAUGCAACACCCACGGCGCCAAACGGACUGCCAAAAGGCCACUUGUUUACAAAUCGAGUUGAAACAGAAGCCAGAGCGUCACCUUGUCUGACCUCAGCUGGGAGCAGGUGCUUCGGACGCUCCCGUCUGUGGCUGCUCCACCCAUGUCACAGAUGCCCAGGCGCUGCGUGUCCUGAUCUGGGAGUUACAAUAAACUGAGCGAGAAGAUGCUACGUCUAAUGAAGUCUAGAUGAUGUGGUCUCCUCUGCUGCCCUCAGCACUCACCCUUAGUGGACUUCCAGCACAUUCCACUGUGGAGAGAACCAAACACCUCCUUACGAUCAGCUCCUAGUGUCACUUUCUCUCGGGGCAGCAAAGCCACUGAGAUUUCCCGGAGGCCUCGCUCCGUGCGUCCACGCUGUCGGGGGAGAGGUCACGUGGAGUUCAUCCCUCAUCAGACGGCCUGGCUGCAAAGCGGCUGGGCCUGCAGGUCACAGGCCAGCCCCAGGCCUGUUUGGUCUGUGGCCCCUGAGAUUCACCUGGGAAGCCCUAAGGAGACCCGUGCUUCGCAGGGCAAAGACGCAGGCGGGUCUGUCUGGUCCUCCUGGAGGGGGACAGGGAAGGGCCUUGGGACCAGCUGAAUCACCUGCUGGUACCCUCCCAGCCGUGCCAGGGUUGCGGCUGUCUGGAGGGGAAGGGUUUCCUCUUUAAAACGGCCCUGAAAGGUCCACAGUGCAUCGGGACGGCUCGGGCCGGGGCUCUCAGCCUCUCCUGGGCGCGGCGGAGUCACCGGGCAUGCGCAUUAAAGACAUAGGCAGCAGGUCUGGUCCAGGCGAGCCCCCCCCCACCCCACCGCUCCGAGGUGGCCUGGACCCGGGAUGACGGAGGGCAUCAGGGUCCCCGGGCGCCCCACUCAGGGGGCUUGUGAGUGUGAGGCGCUGGCUGGGGUCCUUCCGAGGAGCUCGUGUGGGGCGCGUGACGGCCGGGGUCUGGCCGGGGCCCUACACGCCGCACUUGCCAUUAGAUGGGCUGAGAAGGGAACGGCGAAUCUUAACCUUUCACACCGAGGAAGCGGCUGCGGGAGACGAGGGACACCAGACGUCAAGUAACCUGACAUCCUCAGCCAUCGAAGAGAUUAGAUCAAGGAAUCUGGCCUGAUACGUUUACUGAAGAUCCGCUGGCGAACUCCUUAAAGAGAGACACAAGCAGAAUGAAAUGAAAACCAAAUCACUCCGCCUUCCAUCCUGUAAACCUCUUGGGAUUCCCAGAAGUUAGAUUAUUUGGUCUAUGACGCCAGAUGGCUUUGGAAUUUUGGAGAAGUAGUGUCCACUGGUCGUCUCGAGGAGCUGUAUUUCCAUACCUUCUCUGGCGAUGAUGUUUAUUUUUAUAAACUUUGUUAAUUUGAUAGGUCAAAUGAUUCUAAAAGAAUUUCCAAAGAAUUUAUCUUUAGCUGGAAUGUACUGGACUCGCCAGCUGAGAUAAAAAUCUACACUAAGCAGCUAACCAAUUAUCUCAUCAUCCCUUUGAAUCAUUCAUCCUUUCAACAAUUAUUUGAAAUGCCAUCCAGGUAUGAGGAGAAAUUAGCCCUCUUUUGCUUGGGUGACUGGAGAACUGUCUUCAAAUACUCUUCUGUCUCCGAAGUGGAUGGAGGAUUGACAGAUUCUGGCCCCAGAGACUAGAGGUUGGAGCAGUGGAUGGAAACAAAGCUGACCCAUUCACCAAGAGGUACAGAGGAGGUGACUCAUUGCCAGGAGGCACCAAGCAACUGCCUGGAAUUGAAACACCCUUGGCAGGAGUCACACCCCUUCCAGAACUGCUGUAAAGGUGUCCCCUGGUCGUCUGAGGAGGAUGGAUGUGUGAACUGAGAUGGGCAUUUGCCGUCUGCCUCCACGUGGAUUAAAUCACGAGCCACCGCAGCUGCCGACCUGCUACAGCCCCUGAGUGGAGGCCCUCUGUGCUCUGGGAAAACUGGAAGAGCAGGUCUUCAGAUAGUUAGAUACUUUUAGGAGAAGAUUUUAGAUGCAUACAUCUCGCAUCUCCUUGUAUCCAGAAAAACACGAAUAUCCUUCAUGGUGAUGUCUGCCCCUCGUGACUAGCGGUAACCUUCGCCCGCAGCAAAAUUUUGUGAAAUGUGUGUCUGGCUGCAGACCCCUCCCCCUCCCCUUUGACACAUGCCCUGAUGUUAUUUCCCCUUUCCUCUUUGGGGCAGUACAUCAUCGCUGUCUGAAACGCUGCCUCCUUGGCUGCAGUUAAGUCCACGAAACAAAAAGAUGUCACAGUCAUCUGUGAGUGCAGCCACUCCCAAGGGUGAGCCAGUGAGUCCUGAGGGAGCUCGGGAAAGAAACAAAGAAAACUGGCCCCGGACGGCUGAGGUGCAGAGCAAAGGAGUGAUUCCAGUGAGCCCAGACAUUUGCAUCUGCCCAUAGAAAAGCCCUGACUUCCUUAACUCCAGAUAUCUGGUUUUCCGUCAUCUUUUGUUCUCACUCCCUUCCCUUUGUUGAAAAAAGCUCCUGUGCAUCCUAGCUCCUCCCUCAUCUCCUCAGAGCAGUUUCUCGGGGCUACCUGAGAUGCUGUGUCCUAGGCUUAAGUCCUCAUUUGGCCCCCAAUAAAACUUAACUGUCA
rnacentral:lncRNA from 1 species